GGUAAUACAUCUAAAUAAAAGAGGCUCAAGGGGCCCGUUACCCAAAGAAAGGGUGGCCAUCAACAAUCAAGCAUCUCACUCUUUAAAGGAAGCUUAAAUUAUACAUCCGCUUUCGACAUCAUGAACUAUACCCUUAGACUUCAAAUGCAAUUACAGUCUGUUGUUGUCUUAUAAAUAUUAGUCAUUUGUUGUCACCAUCUUCUU
rnacentral:lncRNA from 1 species